CUCCUCCAAAUCAGAUGUCAUCUCCAUGAAGGCAGAGGCUUGCCUGUUUUGUUUGGUGCUGUAUCCCCAGCACCAGCAUUAUUCCUGCGCAUAAUGGGUUGUCUCAUAAACAUUUGUUGAAGUAGAGAAUAAUUUUUCUUUUGCAUUUGUGGAUUGACUUUAAUGCCAGAGAAUUCUACACGUAUAUCUCACUUUUAUCCUUGAAAAAUAUUUGCAAUGGAAACGGGGACAGAAUCAUAGAAUCAUGCUUUUCUUUUCUCUUCUUUUUUUUUUUCCUCCACAGAUGUGAAAGCUGAAGCCCAGAGAGCCUAAGGGAUUUCUCAAGGUCAAGAGCCAGUUGAUGGUCGUGUUGGGGUUGAAUCUGUACCUCGUGUAGACCUGAGGGACUCCCAGAGUAUCAGGAGCUGGGGAGCUGUCGGGAGCUGGAAGCACGGAUCAGGAGAUCGUCUGCUGGGCCAUUUGGAGAACAGAUUGGAGGUGACCAAGAUCCUACAAGACAAGAGGCAAUUGUGCGGCACCUGCACGCACCCGAGGGCCACGGUUUCUGGCUCCUACCUGCCACCACUGGCUUCUGGCUCUGCCACCAGAGACUUGAAAUCACAACCAGGGGAGCCCAGGAGAUAAAAACUAGUGCCUACUCCAGAGCCCACCUGUCUCAGAAGCUGAGCGGCUUCUGGGAGGCCUCCUGCUCGGCCACACCUGCCCCAGUGGGGGUACACCCAGGAUCAGUCCAACAGAGCAGUUCCUCCCUUCAACAUCCCCUCCUCUUAGGAGCUUUGAAACCUGGGGUUCAUGCUCAGGAUGUGUGAACCCUUGAAACCGCACCACAAGUUGGGUACGUGUGUAUGUCUGUACUUCUUCGGAAAGAGUUUUCAUAGCCUUCAUCAGUUCCCCCAUCCCUUUAGAAUAAAAACUCUGCCUAUGCCCUAUCUGAAGGUGAG
rnacentral:lncRNA from 12 species